rnacentral:lncRNA from 10 species
GGCCAUUUCACAACCUUCCACAACCACAAACUCCUUACGCUGUUUGUUUACUUGCCCUCUCUGGGCCGGUUUCCCCACUUGUGAAGUGAGAGGGUUGGGUGAGAAGCCCUUCUGUGACCCUGACUUCAUUUACCUUGUCUCAAAGCCUAAUCUGCUGGGGCAGCCUUUCCCUGGUCCCGCCUCUCCUCUCAACCCUGGAGGUUGUGUCCAGGGUUGGGGGCGUGCCCUCCUUCCCACACAAGGCCAUUUCCUGGGGGGUUUCCAUUGCCUGAGGUGCUGGGUGGGUGUCUGCAAGGCCGCUGGAGCAGAGCCUCUGCCUGGUAGCCCCCUCCCCUCACCCAGCUGCACAGCUCCCUACAGUAAAUGCAUGACCUCACGUCUGGCUGCCUGGCAUUCUGGAGAUCAUCCAAGAAGCUGAGGCAGGUGGGUAUCCCAAGUCCUCAGUGUGGAGCAACCACAGCCUGGGCAGUGCAGUCAGCCCAUUCCUCUGGGAUUUGAAAGCCCACCUCUGCGAGCCAGCUGCACGCCCUCACUCUGGCCUUUCUGCUGAGUGUGAGGCAGCCCUCAUGUGCCUCCUCUGUGAUGUUGUUUAUGGUCCUCUUGGACUGUGCAGCAACCUCUCCUCAACUCCCCCUCAGCAUCCCUGUGUCUCUUCUCCUUUCACCUUGGAAUCUGAGCACCAUCAGCAAUUACCCAAUUAUAGCUCAGCUUUGGGAGCCCUACACAAGUCAAGCACUGUGCUGAAUGCCUUACACAUGUGGUCUAUCUCAGGUCUCAAAAAAACAACCUAAGAAGUCUGUGUUAUUGCUUCCGUUUUUACGGGUAGGGGACUAGGGACUCAGAGAAGUCAUGGAUGGACCCAUGGCCACCGCACUCGACACGCGGCAGCCCGGGAUUUGACUCUCGGUUGGCCCCGCUCAAGCACAGGCUCGCUACCUCCACCCCUGAGCCAUCCCACACAGCAUUCUCGCCCCAACCAGAGAGGUCUCCCAUCU